rnacentral:piRNA from 1 species
UCCAAAGUAUGCCCUCACUGUCAUUGUGC